rnacentral:rRNA from 1 species
CCUACGGGUGGCAGCAGUGAGGAAUAUUGGUCAAUGGGCGGAAUCCUGAACCAGCCAUGCCGCGUGCAGGACGACGGCUCUACGAGUUGUAAACUGCUUUUGUACCGGGGUAAAAUGCCUUACGUGUAGGGUUGUGGAAGUACGGUACGAAUAAGGAUCGGGUAACUCCGGGCCAGGAGCCGCGGGAAUACGGAGGAAUCGGGCGUUAUCCGGAUUCAUUGGGUUUAAAGGGUGCGGAGGUUGUUUUAUAAGUUAGCGGUGAAAUACCGAUGCUCAACAUCGGGGCUGCCGCUAAUACUGUAGGACUAGAGAUCGGAUGCAGCAUGCGGAAUGUGUAGUGUAGCGGUGAAAUGCAUAGAUAUUACACAGAACACCGAUUGCGAAGGCAGCUUGCUAGGCCGGAUCUGACACUGAUGCACGAAAGCGUGGGGAUCGAACAGGAUUAGAUACCCUAGUAGUC